rnacentral:lncRNA from 1 species
UCUGAUGGCAUAGCGUCCUGCAACACAAUGAGCCUCCAUCUAUACUGUCCUCCAUUUCAGCAGCCUAGGAAUGACAGCUUUUGUACAACCAGCCACAGCAGAAUAAUAAUUUGUCCAAUAGGAUUAGUGAUUCGUAGUCAUGUGACAGUAUUUUUAACAUUUGUCCAAUAGGAUUAGUGAUUCGUUGUCAUGUGACAGUAUUUUUGAACAUGUGACACGAGCCUAGCGGGCGAGGCCAGUUCAUUCUGCAAUGCAAUCACUGGGCGAGGCAAGGCGAGUCGUUUUUUGUCGUUUUCCAAGUUUAAAACUUCACUUCACUUUCACAGAGACUUAAAGUCAAUCCUGACGCUGACAAAAAAGAGGUAUGUUCUGGUGUUUUAUAGUUUAUUGUAAAGAACUCCAUAUUCAUGGCAUAAAAGUGAUUAAAUUUUGUGUUUAAUUCGGCCUCAUGUUCCUCCAUGCUUUCGCUUCGCUCGUCUUCCUAAAUUUGCAACGUUAAAUUUUUACAAAUAUUCUUUGUUGUCCGUUUUUUAUUCGCGAAGAAAUGCUUGGAUAUGAUAUUCUGUUUGGUUUAGUUGAAUUUAUUUUACAAAUUUCUCAUUUUCGUACUAAAAGUAAGAUAUAUUUAAAAUGGUAUUUCGCUGUACUUUUAUAUCACUUGUAGUGAAAUAAAGCAAGGAAGGACCUAAAUAAUUCUUUUAACUAAGGAAUUUUUGGUGAAAAAAAAACGCUUAUGCAUAGUACAGAAUCAUGAACACGUACAAUGUUUUAUUCCAUCAUAGUUUUAAUUGUAUUUUUUGUCAAGAAAGCCGAGAAAGAGAUGAUUGAGAGCGACUACGGGCGUCCGUGCGCGCUCUCCUCUGCCGUUUCGCCAGUUGCAUUUGACCUCAAAAAAACAUUUAAAUCAGACAUUUUCCUAGAUUUUUUAGCUAAAGCACGUAUAAUUAAGGACAGAAUUGUAGUCGGGGAUGGAUAAAAGCGGCCACACAGCCCACACUUAACUUUUCUCUUAAAAGUUUAUAACAACUUUUCACGUGAAUUGCAGGCUAUACGCACGCGCAUGGCACAUUCACAAGUUCUCAUAAGGCGGCUCCCUAUAUAGUACAGUUAAAAAAAUAAUAGAUCAGAGAUCAUUCAGGAAAACAGGAAAAAUUGCAAAAUUACCACAGUUGCUAAAGAAUACAAAAUAAUUCUGCCAUGAAAUGAAAAAAUACUGGCCUUGGUGGAAUAUUAAGAUAAUUUUGCUUAACAUUUUAGCUUAUAAUGAUGGCCAUUACAAUUUGUAUCAACCAUUUUUUGCAGAAUGCCCAAGUAUGAAAUGUCAGUCCCCUUGAAGGGGGCUGAAAUGAAUAAACUACAAGAAGUGUUUGGCAAGGAGAAGUACGAGAUCUCGUAUGACGGGGAGGUUUUCCGCUGUCCCCUCCUGGACACAAGAGGCAAACACAAGGGGUGGCAGUGGAAAAGUCGCGUUAAACGCAAAUUGAAGAAUGCCAAAGUACCAAAUGUUUGUCACCUUGAAGGGGGCGGAGAUAAAUAAACUAAAAGAAGUGUUCGAGAAGUACAAGAUCGCGUAUGAUGGGGAGGUUUUCAACUGUCGCAUCCUGGACACAAGAGGCAAACACCAGGGGUGGCAGUGGAAAAGCCGUGUUAAACGCAAAUUGAAGCAACCAGAACAACUUAAUAAAGCAAAAGCCGUGUUAAACAAAAAUUAAAGCGGCUGGGGAAAAGGAAAAGAAAUAAACUAAAAGAAGCAUUUGAUAAAGAGAAGUACGAGAUCGCGUAUGACGGGGAGGUUUUCAACAAUCGCCUCCUGGACACAAAAGGGAAACGCAAGGGGUGGCAGUGAAAAAGCCAAAAACAAAAUGUUUUCAAAAUAAUUCAGGAAUAUCAAGAAAAACCCCAAAUUUGGUUUUCUGUUUGCUUAUAACAAUCUAGCCUUAUGAUAGCCAUUAUAAAAUUUGUAUCAAGCAUUUUUUGCAGAAGGCGAAGUAAUAAAUAUAACUUUUCUUGAAAGGGCCGGGCCUGUAGACAUGAAAAGUUAACAACUAGCAUUUGAUUAAGGUGUAGCGUAGAUUUGAAUAUGCAUAUGUAUGUAUGUAUAAGUAUAGUGCAUAAUCUCAGCAGUUAUACGACGUAGCGGUUUGCAUUGAUGACGUACUUCUGGCAGCGUUAGAACACAGCUUAAACGGAAGUCAGAAGAACAACUAUUGCGCUAGAUGUACAAGUAACGCAGCGCUAAAACAGCGCUUGAACAGUGCUAACACCGCGCUAACUCGAGCUAAUGAAUUGCCUUCUAUGGUAAUAGCAGUAUCUUAGUUAUCGGAGGAUCGGAUUGUAUUACCAUAGUUUGCGCCCCAUUUACGUCAGAUCUAAGGAGGGCGAGCACUAUACAAACGCUCGCGCAAUUACAUACAAAAAAGAGAGAAAUAUACAAGACUAACAAGAGAUAUACCUGUAUACAAAGCUGUACAUAGAAGGAAAUAUAUAUUCCAAAACUUCACUGGUGUGGGACUGCUUGAUAUUACGACGAUGGUGCAAGCCUGAAGUACCCAAGUGCUAGUUUGCUAAUGGUCUCUGGGACACGGACACACCCGGUUUUACGGUGCAACGUUACGGGUAAAGGUACACAUGUAUAUCACAGUCAUAUUUCCUGUUGUAGUUAUCCCAUAUUCUAGCAGUAAUGAUGUACUUCAAUAUUUUGUUUUAAUUGUCUCCAUGUUUUUGAAAUAUACUAUGAUAAUUUUUACUGUUAUUCUUAUUAGAUAAGUAUGAGAUCUCGUAUGACGGGGAGGCAAGCGCAAGGAGUCGCAGUGGAAAAGCCAUGUGAACCAGAAAUUAAAGAAUACUAAAUCUCCAAUACUAACUGGGAGAUUUUUCACUGCUGCAUUCUGAACAUGGAAGGCAAGCGUAAGGGGUGGCAGUGAAUAAGUUGUGUCAAAGAGUUGUGUCAAAGUUGUGGACAUUGAAGUUUAUCCUACGAACAUGCAGGAACGAUCACAAUAUUUGAUCUGGUGUGUGGCUGAUUCAUAUCACAAUUUACAACGUACGAUGGUGUAAGUACUCAAUUAGAGCAU